ACGUCUAUUUUUUCAUGCUUUGUGGCAGCUUAAGAACAUCUGUGGCAUCUAUUAAUGCCAAAUCUAGCCUUUAUUUAACAACAUAAGCAAACUCUAUGUUACAAUGAUUGCACAGCCAUUAAGGAUCAAAUCAGUUUCUGAAAUAUGUUCUGUUUUUUCUCCCUCUGCUUGCUUCUUACUGUCUUUGAGGCUCGGGACCAGCACUCCUGUUGUUGGACAGAAAGACAUCAACUCAGUGACUUGAGAUAUGACUGCACUGUGCUGUUGCUGUGACUCCAGUUAAUUCUACAAGACAUGCUGUGACACCAGGAGAGAUGAGUCCUCCAUCACAGAUGGUGUGGUCAGUGAAGGUGGUCACCUGCAGGUUCAAGCUCAUUGCAUCUCCAACCCACAUCCACUGCAACUGUACUUAAGGGAAGUUAAAGACUUUCUUCUGCACCUACAUUUGGAUCACCUCGAUCCAUGACAGUCAUUCAGGCAGUAAUGCCUGGACUGGAAACAAGCCAUCCUUAAAAUAUUACAACAUUCCAGCUCCUGUGUUGGAAUGAAAAACGAAUGUGUUGUUUAAAUUAGAGACUGCACUUGUGACAGAACAAUAAAUAUUUU